UUCACAGAUUAUGAGUUUAUUUACUAAUUCAUUUACUGAUAAAGAGUUAAAAAGAAAUCCUAACUAUGGCUCAAAUGCUCAUGUUUGUUUACACUUUAAUUAUAUUUCUUUCUCUAUUUCUUGUUAUUACAAAUAGUGUUCGUAUUCCUUGCGUAACUGUCGCCGAUUGUCCACCAACAAUUUUACCUGUAUUUUAUGAGUGCAUUGAUAAAUUUUGCAUGCUCCAUAUUGAGUAAAAAUUAAGUUUAAAAAUAAUCACGUUAUCUUUAACUGUAUAACUUUAUUUGUACUUUUAUAAUUUACUCCAAAGUUUGAUUUAUGUUUACCUGACAUUUCAAUUUUUAUGAA